AGGGGUAUAGCUCAGUUGGUAGAGCGGCGGUCUCCAAAACCGCAGGUCGCGGGUUCAAGUCCUGCUGCCCCUGCCA
rnacentral:tRNA from 20 species